rnacentral:lncRNA from 1 species
AGCAGGUGUGCCACUGUGUCAGCUUCUGUGCCCAUCAGGUGGCGAAGCCUUGCUUAGUAACAGUUUUAAGGGUUGGAACUUCAACCUGGGGAUCAUUGGGAACAUUUGAAGAUUUUGUUUUUAAAGGAGGUUCUAGUAGCAGUGUAAAAAUUGACCUGGAGAGGCAAGACUGGUGGCCAGGAGGCCCAUUAGGAGGCUGCUAUAAUCUAGGUUUCUGGCCUGAGUAGCUGAGUAGAAUGUGGUCCCAAGCACUGAGAUAAUGAACACAGGAGGACCUCAUCAGAGCUCAAGACCUGGCUCCAACUUCGUUGUGAUCGGGAGCAGGUUUACUUUAACCAGAAAGCGUGGCAGACUCUCAGGGUUGAUGUAAAAACAGCCCAGCCUGAUCAGAGAAAGCGGUUUGGGGUCAUUUCCCUGCAGAUGUGACUUUGAAAAACACCGGAAGUGCUGGGCUUCCUCCCUGGCACCCACUCUGCGUCUCCGGUGUGGGGCUGAGCACAGGAGGGCUGACUCCUCAGUCCACGACACCUGACUCUCCGCCACUGUGAUGGGCUUGGCCCUGUUGCUUGCUGAGGACAAGAGAACGUGGGCAAAGGUGGCAUAGUGCAAAUUCCAAGUCUAGACCUCUGGAGGCAUCGUGUAUUUCUGUUCACCCCUCUGGAAGUUUCCACCUUCCACCACAUUAGAAGAGCAUGGCCUAGGGAGCCGCAGCCCCUCCAGCCUGGCCCCACAAAGAGGCCCAGGGAGCAGAGCCCUCCCAGCUGACCUGCAGACCUGUGAGCAUAAGCACAAAUGCAUAUGGCUGUACACAUUGAGUUUGGGGGUUGCUUGUUACACAGAAACAGCUCACUGAUCUAAAUGGAAAAGAGGCCCAUAAGGGAAAGGUAAGAGUGACAGAAAUAUAACAUCCGAGGAGGGUUAUUGUUCUUAGGGAUAAGACGAGUCUUUAAGAAGAUAUGCAGUGAUUCUUCUGUGGAAUAAUGUUAUAUCCACUGAUUCCCAAGACAGACCAAGGAGGAAGGCAGUGACGGUUUUAUCCCCAUUUUAUAGAUGCAGAUAUUAAGGCUGUAAGUGGUUGAAGGUGCACAGAUGAGCCCGGUCUGGGCCCUAAAUCCCUGACUCCGGGCCAGGCUCUUCCCGG